UUGACCUCGGAUCAGGUAGGACUACCCGCUGAAAUUAAGCAUAUCAAUAAGCGGAGGAAAAGAAACCAACAGGGAUUGCCCCAGUAACGGCGAGUGAGCGGCAACAGCUCAAAUUUGAAUCUGGCCCCCAGGGCCCGAGUUGUAAUUUGUAGAGGAUGCUUUUGGCGCGGUGCCUUCCGAGUUCCCUGGAACGGGACGCAUAGAGGGUGAGAGCCCCGUCUGGUCGGACACCAAGCCUCUGUAAAGCUCCUUCGACGAGUCGAGUAGUUUGGGAAUGCUGCUCAAAAUGGGAGGUAUAUGUCUUCUAAAGCUAAAUAUUGGCCAGAGACCGAUAGCGCACAAGUAGAGUGAUCGAAAGAUGAAAAGCACUUUGAAAAGAGGGUUAAACAGUACGUGAAAUUGUUGAAAGGGAAGCGCCUGUGACCAGACUUGGGCCCGGUGAAUCACCCAGCGUUUCGCUGGUGCACUUUGCCGGGCACAGGCCAGCAUCAGUUUGGCGCGGGGGACAAAGGCUGUGGGAAUGUGGUCCCCCGGGAGUGUUAUAGCCCACUGCGAAUACCCUGCGCCGGACUGAGGUACGCGCUCCGCAAGGAUGCUGGCGUAAUGGUCAUCAGCGACCCGUCUUGAAACACGGACCAAGGAGUCGUCUUCGUAUGCGAGUGUCGGGUGUCAAACCCCUACGCGUAAUGAAAGUGAACGCAGGUGAGAGCUUCGGCGCAUCAUCGACCGAUCCUGAUGUUCUCGGAUGGAUUUGAGUAAGAGCAUACGGGGCCGGACCCGAAAGAAGGUGAACUAUGCCUGUAUAGGGUGAAGCCAGAGGAAACUCUGGUGGAGGCUCGCGCGGUUCUGACGUGCGAAUCGAUCGUCAAAUAUGGGCAUGGGGGCGAAA
rnacentral:rRNA from 1 species